GGAACCCGAGCGGGAGAGACCCCGACGACGUGGCGGGGCGCCGAAGGAGCAACCACUCCCCGGAAACUCUCAGGCACCCCAACCGCCCGGGCGAG
rnacentral:ncRNA from 1 species